rnacentral:lncRNA from 1 species
CAUUAUUGACAUCCUUAAGAUUCAAAUUAUUUUGCUUUAACCUAGGUUUUUUUUUCCUUUCUCGGUGAAGUUAGUAGACCCUUGCUUAUUGAUUGGUAUAUGAAAUUGGAUCAUUUUAUUGUUGUGAGAGGUUCUCUUUUAUUGAGUAUCAGAAUAUCACUUUCAUACAUUUUUUGGAGCUAAUUUUGAGGGUUUUGCUUGUGUUUUGUGAAAUACUAUCUGUAGUCAUCUAAUGAAACAAUGCUGUUUUUCUAUUACAAAGCUUUCUGUUCACGUGUCUACAUUGGAAGUUACUGCAUUCAGAAUGAAAGCCAUACAUCUGACCUCAAGAUGAGGAAAAUGGAAGAAGCAGAGAUACUUUUAGUGAAACAGAAUAAACCACUGAACAGGAAAAAUGAGGAAGCCGUGAGUACCAGUGGAAGGAACGAGCCAGGAAGAGGGACUGGAACCGUCUCAGAAGCCGUUCCCCUCAGCCUGGAACUUGCCCUGUCUCCUCGCAGAUGAGGUAGGAGGCUCAGCACAGGCUGGCGGGAGCAGCCCACAGCAGCAGUGAGGGUCAGUGGGCCUGUGAGUUAAGAAGAAGGUGGCACAGAGCGAGGGUCUCUGGGUCCUGUUUGACUUUUCCAUGACUGGGAUAAGUAGCCAGGGCUGGGCUAGUUGGAGAGUUACUUGAACCUCAGGUGACAGUUGUAAGGCAGCACAUGGUGAAAAAGAGUCCUAGCCUGGGAAAGUCCAAGAUCUUGGGUCUGCUUUCAGUUCACUCACCUAUCUCUGUGACAUAGCAAAGUCUCUUAACUUCUUUAAUUUUCUGAUUAGUGGUAUAGUUGCAGGAAUGAAAUAAAACUCGUCCUGAUUACUCA